rnacentral:rRNA from 1 species
UGGGGAAUCUUGCGCAAUGGGGGAAACCCUGACGCAGCGACGCCGCGUGCGGGAUGAAGGCCUUCGGGUUGUAAACCGCUUUCAGCAGGGACGAAAUUGACGGUACCUGCAGAAGAAGGCCCGGCCAACUACGUGCCAGCAGCCGCGGUAAUACGUAGGGGCCUAGCGUUGUCCGGAUUUAUUGGGCGUAAAGAGCUCGUAGGCGGUUCGGCAAGUCGGAUGUGAAAUCUCCACGCUUAACGUGGAGGGGCCAUUCGAAACUGCCGUGACUCGAGUCCGGUAGGGGAGUGUGGAAUUCCUGGUGUAGCGGUGAAAUGCGCAGAUAUCAGGAGGAACACCAGUAGCGAAGGCGGCACUCUGGGCCGGUACUGACGCUGAGGAGCGAAAGCGUGGGGAGCGAACAGGAUUAGAUACCCUGGUAGUCCACGCCGUAAACGUUGGGCACUAGGUGUGGGACUCUAUCGACGGGUUCCGUGCCGUAGCUAACGCAUUAAGUGCCCCGCCU